AGAAAACGGCCUAAAAAAUCAAUUUCAAGUGAGUUUUCAAUGUGAAAACCACAUUUUCAUGAAGUGGAACUAGGACGGUGUUAUCCCGCGACAAAUUCGUUACGGCUAGAGAGAAAAUAUACAAUUUAGUACGAGCAGGAGAGAAAAUUGACAGCGUCUCGCGAACCUCUGUCUUGGAAAGGUAGAAAGCGAGCUAUUAUGUCGUUUCACUUAGCACACCCUGUUUACGGGCGUCAGCCACUAGAUGUCGUGUUAUUAGUUUUUCGUUGCUCCAGCAGAUGGCAGUACCAUUAACUAUCAUAAAUGUAAUUUUUAAUGAGGUAUUUAAAAAAAGCUCGUGCAGCACUCGGGAACUGCUGCGGUAAAGCGGUUUUGUCUAUGUAGUUUUUCUUCGGGUUUAAAUGUGUAAUAACGGUGGUUUAUUAAGUGUUUCAUAUUCUGUGAAAGUGCACAAAUGUGGGAAAAUGAAAUAAAACUGCUGCAGAUAGCUUCUCGGGAUCCUCCAAAAAGUCUACUGAAAAAAUCUCAGUAAAUGACCACCGUCAUCUCUUUUCAUUUAGUUUCAUCUCAGUUGAUUAAUGACCCAAAUUGAUCAUUUCAUUUCAUUUCACCCCAUAUUAUAAUUUUUCAUAAAAAUAAGAAUAAAAUAAAAAUAAGACAUGACUUAAAGGUCUCUGUUACCAGGUCAUAAAAUCCCUAAAAAAAAAAGAAUCCGAAGUCUGAAUUUAAUGAAGUAAAGAAAAAUUGUGUACAAUGUACGCACAUAUUACCUAUGAACUAAAAGCAAAAUUAUAAAUUUGAUACAAGUGGUUUAAUAGCAUAGGUACCAUAAAGAUAUAGCAGUACAGAACUAUUCAACCGCUUGCGAUACAUAUUAAUGCAAGGAAAUGUGUUUUUAUCUAUUCGUAUUUAAACUUCUUCAUUGAAAUAGCUCAUCGCAUGUCUGGUUAAAAACAAAAAUAAAUUGAAAAUGGCUUUAAAUGUGCUCACAAGGUUAUUAAAACGAAAGGAGUUGUCCAAAUUAUUACCUUACAAACAACAAAUAGUAGAAACAAAUGUAUUUCACACUCACAUUAUUCCCAAGGUUCAAUAUUCUAUAUUGCACAAUCAAAUAUUAAAAGGUACAAAACUACGAGAGCUACAAAUCUUAAGAUUUUAUUCUGUAAAAACUGAGCAGAAAAAGGAAGAUGAUGAUUACAGAAGUGAUAAUAGCAUUACUGUUAUUGGUCAAGAUAUACCCAGUCCUUUUGUUGACAUAGAAGCCAGUGGAUUUCCUGAAUAUAUAAAAACAUUUCUGAAGAUGCAAGGUAUCACAAAACCAACUGUGAUACAGUCACAGGGAUGGCCAAUAGCUUUGAGUGGUAAAAACUUUGUGGGUAUAGCACAAACAGGUACCGGAAAAACAUUGGCUUUUCUUUUACCAGCUGUUGUUCAUAUUAAAGAAAAUAAAGCAAAAAAGGGGCGAGGACCAAUUGUUCUGGUUCUUGCCCCAACUAGGGAAUUGGCAAGACAAAUAGAGCAGGUGGCACAGGAUUUUAAUGAGCAAUUAGGUAUACGCUGUGCUUGUAUUUACGGUGGAGCAAAUAGAAGUAAACAAGCAGCACAGUUACAAGCUGGAGUUGACAUAGUAAUUGCAACUCCAGGAAGACUGAAUGAUUUUCUUAUUACUAAGACAACAACAUUAAGCAGGUGUACAUAUGUGGUGCUAGAUGAAGCGGACCGAAUGCUGGAUAUGGGUUUUGAACCUCAGAUACGUCAAGCUUUAGAAGGAGUACCACUAGAGAGGCAAAUCCUGAUGUUCUCAGCAACAUGGCCAAAGGAAGUCCGCACUCUUGCAAAAGAUUAUUUAGGUGAAUUUGUCCAGGUCAAUGUUGGUUCUACUGAGUUGUCUGCCAACCGCAACAUACAACAAAUUGUCCAUGUAUGUGAACAAGACGAAAAAGCCGAGAAGUUUACAGAGAUAAUGCAUAAAAUAUCUGGUUUAGGUUUUGGUAAAACAUUAGUAUUUACAAACACUAAGAAAUCUGUGGACUAUCUUGAGAGAGUGCUUCGGGGAAAUGGAUGGCCAGCUCUAGGUAUUCAUGGGGAUAGAACACAACUCCAGAGAGAUAUGAUCAUCAACAAAUUUAAAACUGGAAAGACUAAUAUACUAGUAGCUACAGAUGUUGCAGCUAGAGGUCUUGAUGUUGAUGGAGUGACACACGUAGUAAACUAUGACUAUCCCAAUACAUCUGAAGAUUAUAUUCACAGAAUAGGUAGAACAGGGCGUCAAGAUAACAAGGGCAUAUCUCAUUCUAUACUCACUGAAGAAAAUGCAAGACAGGCAAAGGAUUUAAUAGAAGUUUUGAAAGAAGCUAAACAGGUAUGUAUUUUUGUCAUCAAUCAUAGCUGUGGGUAUAUACAUAAAGCAUUAUUGUACUGAUAAUUAUAUAUAUAAACGAAUGAUUUUUUUAACAUUAAUAUAAGUCAAAUUAAAUAAAUCAUUAACUGUGUAAGAGUAUCUAAUUCGCAGAAUAAUCUGUAAACUAUUACAAAUAAUAUUAUUGUAACAUCUUUUGUUAAUUUUCAGGAUAUCCCCAAAGAAUUGUAUGACUUGGCUCGCUCGUUUGACAUCACGAAAUCCACUGAAAAAUUUUACAAAAAGAAAAGCUUCCAGAAGCCGUACAACUUUAGUAAUAAUGCGAGUAAAAAAUGGAACAGAUUUAGAAAUGAUAGAUAUUACUAAGUUAUGUAAUUUCCUUGCAGUUACAGCUAUAUUAAGUAGUGUUCAAUAUCUUGUUUAAUUUUACUAAUGUGAUAAUAAAUAGUUGUGUAGCCGA